UCCUUGCUACACAUAAACGCGGCUCAUCCACGCGUUUUCACCAUGGAGUUCUCUGUUGAAAUGGACGCGGUGGAAGAGUUUCUGCGGUUAAAAAAAUAUCCAGUGCAUGAUGGAAACGACAAGGAAAAAAAAGCAAAUUUUCGAAGGAAGUGUCGGGCAUUCGUUAUCCAAAACGACUGUCUAAAACUUGUCCAUAAGCCGAACAGGAGAGAUUUAACAGGUGAGUAGUCUAUUCGUGUAGAAACGAAAAGCGAAAUGGUGUAAUGGCCUAUAGUUUAAUAAUUUUACAUAUGAUUGCAGAAGUUCGCUUCCUUCGGGUGAUUAAGGAUCGCCAAUACCAACUCGACAUUGUGCUGGCCAGUCACCGAGGAGCUGGUGACAGCGACGAAGCUGUUGCUUUGGGAGGCCACGUUGGCAGGGAUAAGGUCAUCGAUCGCAUAAUGCAAAGAUAUUGGUGGCGCAACGUUACACCUGAUGUAGUUGAAACCAUCAAAACUUGCUCACGGUGCCAAAAAGCCAGCACUGUGUUCAAGAAAGUGGACCCGAAACUGCACAGUAUCCCAAUUAAGCCUCGAAACAUGUACCAAAUUGGCAUAGACCUAUGUUCAUUGACAACGUCCUCCAACGGUCAUGUCGCCAUUGUGAUGGCCGUUUGUUAUUUUUCCAAGUGGAUUGAGGCUCGCCCUUUAAAAUCGAAGGAAGCUGUAAAAGUGGCUCGGUUCCUUUACGAGGACAUUAUCUGUCGUCAUGGAUGUGUUGCCAUACAGAUCAAUGACCAGGGCAGAGAGUUUGUGAACUCAGUCUCAGCAGAGCUCCACACGCUCAAUAGGAACAACACAAAGAAUCACAUCUGCUUAUCAUCCUCAAGUAUUUAUCAUAAUAUUAUAAUGAUUAUAUUUGUUUGUAUGUGCUUAUUCUUUCCUCUGUUUGAAAGCAGUGCCCUUAUUUUGGCAUUUUUUGAUCUUGUUGAAACAAUACCUAUAUAUUUUUCCAACAACGAUUUGUUAAUUUCAGGCCAAUGGAUUAGUCGAACGCAGCAACCGAACAGUUCAAAAUCUUCUCCUUCGAACUCUGAGUGAUCGACAUGAAAACUGGGACAAAUGUUUGCACGGCGUCUUAUUUGCACUGAGGUAGGUAAUAUCAGGGUAAACCUGUGAGUUCUUGUCGAAACGUCAGUGUGUACUGUUAUUAGAUUUUGAAUUGCAUUGUUUCUUUUUAUUGGAUCUACAGUCCAGGCCUCCACGAGGUUUUCACCAUUCAAGAUGUUAUUUGGCCGAGAACCUGUCCUUCCCAUCGAUGUGGACCACGAGUUCGCUGACUGCACCUCCGAUCCUGACGACCCUGAAUUUGAGGAGUCUGACUUCCAUGCUACACUCUCAAAGGUCGAAAUAUUACAGGAUGUUGUUUUCAAGAAAGCUGAUGCCAACAUUGAGCGAGCUCAGGAAAAACAGCAAGCUGAUUUUGCAAAGAGGCGAUACAAACAAAAGAAUUUCAUCGUGGGUGAUAAGGUGUUGCGUUACAACCUCCGCAGAGCCGACAGAAAAGGAGGCAAGCAAACUGAUCCAUGGGAUGGUCCCUACGAGGUGGCUCAAGUUUGCGAGAAGGGGCUGUACUGUCUCAUUAAUUCAUCCACGAAAGUCACCCUCAAGACGAAAGUGAACGGAUGCAACCUGAAGCCCUUCUUCGAACGCACUCCAGAAGCUUUACCACCGACUCCCUCAGUUACGUCAUUUCCGCCAUCUCCAAGUGUCCAAAUAGUCGGGGAUCAGCAAGAGGAGAUUACUUACAAGUUCUCUCCAUUGACGGUUGCAACGCAGCGAGCAAUCUGCAACAACUCUGGUGGACGUCUGGUAUUCAAGAAAAUAUCAGGUCCAUCCGGAAAAAAAAUAAGACCUUCAAAAACACCAACGAACCUCUUGCCGUUAAAGCAAUUGAAGGUGACGGAAAUUGUCUUUUCCGUGCAUUGUCAUAUGCCAUCACUGAAGAAGAGGAUCAACACGACGUUGUCAGAAGCUUGAUAUGUUAUUUCAUUGCCAGCACUGAAAACAUCAAAGUUGAAUCAUUGCGUCAGAAUAAAGUGUGGGGAACAACAACAGAGAUGUUAGCAGCAGCCAACAUGUUCCAUGUGAAUGUAUGUGUGUGGGCAAAGUUCAGUUCUAUGCACACAUGGCAUAUACAUAGGCCGAAAUGCAGAGAAGUAGUAAACGAGUCAGUGUACCUCGAUAAUAAAGCAGGCAACCAUUUUAAUGUAGUUAUUCGUGUGUAAUGUGCACAUGAUUAGUGAUUAGCUUUUGGAUGGGAGACAACAUUAAUGUACUGUAGUGUGAUUACUGAUUAGUUUUUGUAUGGGAGUCAACAUCAAUAAAUCUUUUUCAUCCAAUAAUGCGAGUCACUUCAACCUGAUGGGGAGUCGUAUGAAACCAGUUUCAGUUGACUGGGGAGUGCUAUCUAACUAGUUUCAAUUGACUGGGGAGUGCUUUAAAACUAGUUUCAAGAGACUCCGGGAGUCAUGUCUAGGGGGAGUAUCCUGAAACGUCUACACCGGCAUAUCAAAAGUGGUUGCCUAAUAGCAUGCUUGUCUGGUGGAUGAAGACUGUAUACAGAGCGUGCCGUGGUGAUGCUGGUGACAGCCAGGAGUCGUGUAUACAGCUGAUGCAGGCAAGGCAAAAGUGGUGCGCUGUUUGGUCCUCUAGUUUUUGUAGAAUAUUCGGUUACGCCUGGAUAUGUAGAUUUUGUAUUAUUUAUGCAACAGUAAGCCCUUCAUUACAUUAACUGUACAGACACAAUGUAACGAUUAGCGGGCAACGCUUGGCGCUGCGAGUUCGGGGCGCCGGGCACGACGAGCAACCAUUUGAGAGGUCAUGGAGUGCAUGAUGUCAGACUCGAACCCCGAGCAGCGUGGUGGUGGUGGUGGGCAGGACAACACCACGCCGCCGGGAAAGACAGCCGGCCAGCGGUACGUGCAGGGCAGGAGGCUGGGCAUUCACCUGCCUCGUAAAUCAGGUGUGCGGGGCAGCGGGCGGGCACCAGGAACAAUGUGCCGCCACGACACAAAACAGGCCACGUCUCCCCUGUGCCCUGUUCCGCCCCUCGCCCUGACGACACUCGUGACAGGCUGGGAGGGCCGCGCAACGAACCUAACGUAGGUUUGUAAUUACUGCUUGACCAGUCAUACUUUAUGACCUGAUGCUAAUAAUAUAUCGUUCGCAAGGUGCCAAGCGGUGCCUCGCGGCGGCCUGCGUCUGGCUGGCCUGUUUGGCGGCCCAGACUGGCUGCUACUGUUGCUGUUGUUGUUGCUUCUAGUGUUGCUUCCAUUGCUGCUGAUGGUGGUGAUGGUGCUGCUGCUGCGGCAACUUGCUUCGUCACCCUCCGGCAAGGAAGUCAAUCACGUCUCAUUCGCAUGAAGGGAAACCUAAUGAAUCAGCCUUUUUACCUCUGUUUUUCCCUGCUGUGGAAACCGAUGGUGUCUGGGCGGGCAGCUGCCAUCCGUCGCCCCGCAGCCCCGUUGUGGUUUUCUUUCCCACAAAAUAAACUGACAGACAUAUUAUUUCCUCUUCAGAAAAAAAAUAUUACGACGUGCUUGAAAUCUAGUGCAUUGACACAAGAAGUAUCAUUGCAUACGU